rnacentral:rRNA from 1 species
GACGAACGCUGGCGGCGUGCUUAACACAUGCAAGUCGAACGGAAAGGCCCCCACCUUGGUGGGGGUGCUCGAGUGGCGAACGGGUGAGUAACACGUGGGUGACCUGCCCUGUACUUCGGGAUAAGCUCGGGAAACUGGGUCUAAUACCGGAUAGGACCAUGGUUUAGUGUCUCAUGGUGGAAAAAUUAUUGUUUUGGUGCAGGAUGAGCUCGCGGCCUAUCAGCUUGUUGGUGGGGUAAUGGCCUACCAAGGCGUCGACGGGUAGCCGGCCUGAGAGGGUGGCCGGCCACAUUGGGAGUGAGGUACGGCCCAGACUCGUACGGGAGGCAGCGGUGGGGAAUCUUGCACAAUGGGCGCAAGCCUGAUGCAGCGCCGCCGCGUGGGGGAUGACGGCCUUCGGGUUGUAAACUCCUUUCGUUAGGGACGAAGCCACACCUUUUUUGGGUGUGGUGACGGUACCUUUGUUAAGAAGCACCGGCUAACUACGUG